AGUCUUUCAAUUUCCUGAGUAAACACAAAAGGCUGAGUCAUCAAACUCAUCUUCAAUAAUUAAUGAUUUUGAAGAUAAGAGGAGAGACGCGGAGGAGUCAUAGAAAGAGAAACGCUGUGUAAUUAAGGACCUAAAGCUUUACAAUAGUCUUGGAGAUUUGCAGGUACGGUCACUGUGAUCCAUAAUAUUUAUAAUUUGGGGGAAUAUUAUAGUUUGCUAACUAUAUGUAUUUUGCCAACUACUCCCUUGUCCAUUCUUUAGAAAAGAAAAGUAGUACUUAUUUUCUAGGAAAUUUGAGAAUUUUCUUUGGCU
rnacentral:lncRNA from 1 species